rnacentral:lncRNA from 1 species
UCUCAUUUUAUAAAAAUUGGAUCAAUAUUCCCUGUUGUAGCACAUGACUCGGCCUCUGUAUGAUAUGUAAAUAUCAAAUUUUUUAUUAGUCCUUAUUAAUGAUAAUAACAAGGAACCGAAGAACAAUAUACAUCAAAAUUUCAAAAUUGAUAAUAGAAAAUAAAUGCGUGAUAUGAUUCCUUAGAGAGCUCUCCAAUUUUAAACAUAUUAUAACCAGUCAUUCUCUUUUGCUGUUUGUCUUGAACUCUAUAUGGAUACUUCUUACACAAAUGCGUGAUAUGAUUCCACAAUGUACUAGUUUCAUAGUUUUUUGCAUGAUGCUUAUAUUUGUCCACAAUAAUUCCAUUCUGCCUUCUCAUCUCCUCGAAUUUUAAAAUGAUCCCACACUUCGGACCUUUUGUUUCCCUUUUUGCAUUUUCCUUCCAUUUUCAUAUCUUCAGGGUCAUCCUCUAAUGGAAUCGCAUCACCGGCUUCUUCUAGAAUUGGAUCCAUAUCUGAAAAAAGAAAAAGAAACAAUGGAGGAAACUAAGGGAAAUGGACGAGAAUCAACGAUUAUUAUGCUUACAAUUUUGAAAUUGUUAUGAUGGGAUUUUGAAGUAUCUUCUCUACUGACUAUUAGAAAUGUAAGAGCAUGAUUUUUUGCACAAGAGCUUAAAAUUACUAGAAAAGCAUUAGAUAUUUACUUAAAUCAGUAGGCCUUAAGCAUAUCCUACAUUAGUCUAAGUUGGUCUCUAACUAGAAAAUGCCCAAGCUUGAGAAGGUUCCAAAAUGGUGGUUCUAAGUAAAAUUUGCCAAGUAUUUUUAUUGAAGAAUAGACAAAACAGGAAAAUCUUUCCCAAAACAGAUGAAGCCAAUAUGCUACAAAAUAACUCUCCUCAAACCAUACAUAGGGCCAGUUGAGCGAAGUAUAAUAACAUAGUAUAAAUUCAAGAAUGUCUUCUAUUAUUUCUUGGAGCAAAUACUGAUAAAAACCAAAAUCAUUCAUGCAUCAGAUACAAAUAAAUACAGCAAUGUAUCUACCA